UACGUAGGGGGCAAGCGUUGUCCGGAAUCAUUGGGCGUAAAGGGUGCGUAGGCGGCGCGGUAAGUCGGGUGUGAAAUCUCGGAGCUUAACUCCGAAACUGCAUUCGAUACUGCCGUGCUUGAGGACUGGAGAGGAGACUGGAAUUCAUGGUGUAGCAGUGAAAUGCGUAGAGAUCAUGAGGAAGACCAGUGGCGAAGGCGGGUCUCUGGACAGUUCCUGACACUGAGGCACGAAGGCCAGGGGAGCAAACGGG
rnacentral:rRNA from 1 species